rnacentral:rRNA from 1 species
UACGAAGGGGGCUAGCGUUGCUCGGAAUUACUGGGCGUAAAGGGCGCGUAGGCGGACAUUUAAGUUAGAGGUGAAAGCCCAGGGCUCAACCCUGGAAUAGCCUUUAAUACUGGAUGUCUUGAGUUCGGGAGAGGUGAGUGGAAUGCCGAGUGUAGAGGUGAAAUUCGUAGAUAUUCGGCGGAACACCAGUGGCGAAAGGCGACUCACUGGCCCGGUACUGACGCUGAGGUGCGAAAGCGUGGGGAGCAAACAGG